GGCAAACACUUCAGCAUACUGAUACCGUACUUUGCUGUUGGCAGUAUGGCGAGUUACAGCGCACCAAAUUGCGCCAAUCACGCGGAAGGUGGCAAAUCUUUUUACGCGGUGCCAUGCGGACGUACGAGACCGGCCGGCUCCGAAAAGGACCAGGAUAUGCGAGUGGCCUCGAAUUCUGCCUCCCAAGGCUCCAAGGACCAGUACUCAUCCCCUGCUGGCACCAUCCACUGCACAUCCAUUCACUCGUACGAAAUAAA